UGACCGUGGCCAUGUAGGUGGAAUCAGCGGUGGAGGAGGAGGAUGAUGUAUAUAUUUUUUAAUUGGGGUAGCCCCCAAAGUAUUGGGACAUUUAAAAAAGAGACAUCUUUAUUCCGCAGACUAGCUGUUGACAUUAUAGUUGCGCAGGCACUUUGUUGACUCUAGAGAACCUCGGGCCAAUCGCACAUCCCCGUGACAGCGACUUUGUAUUCGGAUGUCAUCCAUAUCAACUUUCGAUGUCAGUAUCUGCGCCUACCAUGGUGAUCACAGGUAACUGGGAAUCAGGGUUCCAUUCCGUACAGGGACCCUGAGAAACGGCUACCACAUGCAAGGAAGGCAGCAGGCGUGCAAAUGACCCACUCCCGACACGGGAAGGUAGUGA
rnacentral:rRNA from 1 species